GAUGAACGCUGGCGGCGCGCCUAACACGUGCAAGUCGAACGAUUAAAGCACCUUCGGGUGUGUAUAAAGUGGCGAACGGCUGAGUAACACGUGGGCAACCUGCCCCUCUCAUUGGGAUAGCCACGGGAAACCGUGGAUAAUACCGAAUACUUCGGGACUUCCGCAUGGAAGACUCGAGAAAGCUCCGGCGGAGAGGGAUGGGCCCGCGGCCUGUUAGCUUGUUGGUGGGGUAAUGGCCUACCAAGGCAAUGAUGGGUAGCUGGGUUGAGAGACCGACCAGCCAGAUUGGGACUGAGACACGGCCCAGACUCCUACGGGAGGCAGCAGUGGGGAAUCUUGCACAAUGGGCGAAAGCCUGAUGCAGCGACGCCGCGUGCGGGAUGAAGGCCUUCGGGUUGUAAACCGCUUUCAGCAGGGACGAGGCGAAAGUGACGGUACCUGCAGAAGAAGCCCCGGCUAACUACGUG
rnacentral:rRNA from 1 species